GCUCAACUGCUGUUUCAACAGGAGGAAGUGUUUCUCUCUGUUCCUCUUUCCUGUUAACAACGGUCAGAUAUGUUGACUUAAACUGCUGAGACAUAUGAAGGAGAUGCACAAAGACAAUCUGCAGGGACUCAAGUUAGACUAGAUAGAGAUGAUCCAGGAGAGGAGGACAAACCAGCAGGAGGAGGACAGAGCUGCCACUGUGUUCCUGCAGUGGGACAUCCGAGUGGUGAAGCUGGACGUGGUGGGGGCUUUGUAGUCCUCAUUGGUCUCUGAGAUGAACUCAGUCACAGAGAUGAGCUCUGGCAUCGUGGCAAAGUGUCCUCAAAUCUCUAAAGUGGAAGUCUCUGCAGCCUCAGGUGAGGUUUGCAGGUUUUCUUUCCAUGGUUUGUUCCACUGAGAGGCCUGAAGAACACGGACAGUCACAUUCCUCCGUCCUGCUGCUGCUGACUCCACCUGAGGAAACCACUGAGGAGGGCGGAGACACAGAGGAGGAGCAGCAAGAGGGCUCACUCUGACGCUGUUUCCGGGGACCACAAACGCUGACAGAGAAUAAACUUGAGGAAGUGUUCAAAUAAACACUGAUUCUUGUGACAUUAAUAUUAAAUGGAUUUGGUCUUGAGAGU